rnacentral:rRNA from 1 species
UACGGAGGGGGUUAGCGUUGUUCGGAAUUACUGGGCGUAAAGCGCACGUAGGCGGAUUGGAAAGUUGGGGGUGAAAUCCCAGGGCUCAACCCUGGAACUGCCUCCAAAAACUCCCCAGUCUGGAGUUCGAGAGAGGUGAGUGGAAUUCCGAGUGUAGAGGUGAAAUUCGUAGAUAUUCGGAGGAACACCAGUGGCGAAGG